rfam:Plasmodium vinckei petteri strain CR unplaced genomic scaffold supercont1.22, whole genome shotgun sequence.
AACCUGGUUGAUCUUGCCAGUAGUCAUAUGCUUGUCUCAAAGAUUAAGCCAUGCAAGUGAAAGUAUAUGCAUAUUUUAUAUGUAGAAACUGCGAACGGCUCAUUAAAACAGUUAUAAUCUACUUGACAUUUUAAUAUAAGGAUAACUACGGAAAAGCUGUAGCUAAUACUUGCUUUAAGUGCUCUUUACUCCCCGGAGUAAUUAGCAUGUAUUUGUUAAGCCUUAUAAGAAAAUUUUUUAAUUAAAGGAAUUAUAACAAAGAAGUAACACAUAAUAUAUUUACUAUAUUUAGUGUGUAUCAAUCGAGUUUCUGACCUAUCAGCUUUUGAUGUUAGGGUAUUGGCCUAACAUGGCUAUGACGGGUAACGGGGAAUUAGAGUUCGAUUCCGGAGAGGGAGCCUGAGAAAUAGCUACCACAUCUAAGGAAGGCAGCAGGCGCGUAAAUUACCCAAUUCUAAAUAAGAGAGGUAGUGACAAGAAAUAACAAUAUAAGGCCAAAUUUUGGUUUUAUAAUUGGAAUGAUGGGAAUUUAAAACCUUCCCAAAAAUCAAUUGGAGGGCAAGUCUGGUGCCAGCAGCCGCGGUAAUUCCAGCUCCAAUAGCGUAUAUUAAAAUUGUUGCAGUUAAAACGCUCGUAGUUGAACUUCAAGGGUAUCAUUAUUUUAAGCAACUCACUUGGCGAGAACUUGGCUCUGCCUCGAUAUCUCUAUGCCUCGUCGCAGUUCUUUUAAUUACAGGCCCUUUGAGAGCCCUUUGAGCAAUCACUGGGUUUCUCGUUACUUUGAGUAAAUUAGAGUGUUCAAAGCAAACAUUUAAAGCGUUUUCGCGUUUGAAUACUAUAGCAUGGAAUAACAAAAUUGAACAAGUCAAAUUUGUUCUUUUUUCUUAUUUUGGCUUAGUUACGAUUAAUAGGAGUAGCUUGGGGGCAUUUGUAUUCAGAUGUCAGAGGUGAAAUUCUUAGAUUUUCUGGAGACAAACAACUGCGAAAGCAUUUGCCUAAAAUACUUCCAUUAAUCAAGAACGAAAGUUAAGGGAGUGAAGACGAUCAGAUACCGUCGUAAUCUUAACCAUAAACUAUGCCGACUAGGUUUUGGAUGAAAAUUUUUAAAUAAGAUUUCCCUCCGGGGAUUUCUUAGAUUGCUUCCUUCAGUACCUUAUGAGAAAUCAAAGUCUUUGGGUUCUGGGGCGAGUAUUCGCGCAAGCGAGAAAGUUAAAAGAAUUGACGGAAGGGCACCACCAGGCGUGGAGCUUGCGGCUUAAUUUGACUCAACACGGGGAAACUCACUAGUUUAAGACAAGAGUAGGAUUGACAGAUUAAUAGCUCUUUCUUGAUUUCUUGGAUGGUGAUGCAUGGCCGUUUUUAGUUCGUGAAUAUGAUUUGUCUGGUUAAUUCCGAUAACGAACGAGAUCUUAACCUGCUAAUUAGCGG